GACGAACCGUGCGAACGUUGUUCGGAUUCACUGGGCUUAAAGGGCGCGUAGGCGGGCCACCAAGUCGGGGGUGAAAGCCUUGAGCUUAACUCAAGAAGUGCCCCAGAAACGGUGAGACUAGAGUUCUGGAGAGGGUCGUGGAAUUCCCGGUGUAGCGGUGAAAUGCGUAGAGAUCGGGAGGAACACCAGAGGCGAAGGCGGCGACCUGGACAGAUACUGACACUCAACUGCGAAAGCGUGGGGAGCAAACAGG
rnacentral:rRNA from 1 species